AAAAAAAGUGAAUUAAAUUUAAAAGGAAAUUGUUCGAAAAAAAGGAAAGAAUGAAAAAAAUAAUGAUUGGUGUGUGAAAAAAAUUCAAAGGAAUUGAAGUCCUCGUGCGAGCAUGGUCGGUGGUUGACUGGGCUGUGGAACGGAGAAAUAGAGAUGGCGAGGCAACUGCUAGGUGGUGGAGUUAUGUUGUUGAUUGGUGCAGGGUAGGAGCAACAGCUAGGUCAGUUGGUUGGUGCGGUUGGGUUGCUGUGCGGUGUGGUGGCACAAUGCGCUGGAGAACCGUUGGAUGGCAAUGAUGGAGAUGGUGGCCAUGGUUGAUGAAGGUGAAGUCGGCUGUGUGGAAGAGUUGGGAAGAAGAGGAUAAAAAAAUAAUAAAAGAAGAAGAAAAAAAAGAAGUAUAUUGUCUAGUGGGGAGAAUUUUGAUUGGUGGGGAGAGGGAUUUGACUUGGUCAAAGUGUGUUCACAUUUUUUCUUCUUACUUCCAUUUGUAAAAAUAUAAAUCGAC
rnacentral:lncRNA from 1 species